GCUGGAGAGAUGGCUCAGUGGUUUAGAGCACUGAUUGGUGUUCCAGAGGUCCUGAGUUCAAUUCCCAACAACUAGCA
rnacentral:tRNA from 1 species